AACGUUCGUAUUAAUAAAAGUUGCACCCAUUCAGUAGUACGUGAUACCCUCUACGAGCACCCCAAUCUGUUUUCGGAUUUAUGAUUUAGCCGUUAUACAAGGACUACCAACAGCAGAUAUACAAUCCGGCAUACCAUGGCGCCACCUACUUUUACAAACAUGGAACGCAUGCCCUGCAAGAUGGAAAGCUGCAACAUGACAUUUAACAGGGCUGACGACGCAAAACGUCAUUAUAAGGAAGCGCAUUUGCGUAAAACCGCGUGUCAUGCGAGUUCUGCGGAAAAAUCCUGUUAAAAAGGUGCCUAUCACGGCACGUCCGCACCAGUAAAUCCUGUCCCGGAAGUGCCAUUCUGCACGCUUUAGCAUCAGGAGCGCUGAUCGUGGCGGACGAUGUGGAGAACCAAGCUCCGUCCCCUGGCCACUGAGAUUAUCCGGUUGUCCAAGAACGGUGUACACACUGGUAGUAUGGCCUAUGGAGCAGUAUUCAUGAAUGAAUCUCUGCUGUAAAUUUUGGUUACACAUUUUAUUAAUUCCUUCGGUUCGUUUGGCUUUUAUUAUUUGGUACUUGCUCGCUUUGAUGUGUUUUUGCUGCUGAUGGAUUUAUUAUCGAACGUAAAAAAAUUGCCAGAAGGGCACUGUAUGUUUGGUUCCUGUCAAUUUUUCUUAAUUUGACUCUUUAAUUUCACUGUACUGCGCUGACGUUGGUCAUGAAUCGAUGAUUCGUAAUAAAACAAA